GACGGAGGAUGCAAGUGUUAUCCGGAAUCACUGGGCGUAAAGCGUCUGUAGGUGGUUUAAUAAGUCAACUGUUGAAAUACUUGAGGCUCAACCCUCAAAAUCGCAGUCGAAACUAUUAGGCUAGGAGUAUAAGUAGGGGGUAAAGGGGAAAUUUCCAGUGGAGCGGUGAAAAUGCGUAGAUAGUCUGGAGGAACACCGGGUGGCGAAGGGCGGCAUCCUGGACCAACACUGACGCUGAGGAGCGAAAGCCAGGGGGAGCAAACGGG
rnacentral:rRNA from 1 species